rnacentral:misc_RNA from 1 species
GAUGAAGAACGUAGCGAAAUGCGAUAAGUAAUGUGAAUUGCAGAAUUCAGUGAAUCAUCGAAUCUUUGAACGCACCUUGCGCCCUUUGGCCAUUCCGAAGGGCAUGCCUGUUUGAGUAUCAUGAACGCCUCAACUCUUUAUGGUUUUCCAUGAUGAGCUUGGACUCUGGGGGUUUUGCUGGCUCACAGUCGGCUCCUCUAAAAUGAAUCAGCUUACCAGUGUUUGGUGGGUAUCAUGGGUGUGAUAACUAUCUACGCUUGUGGUUUUUCCACCAGGUAACCUUCAGCAGUGGAGGUUCGCUGGAGCUCAUAGAUGUCUCUCCUCAGUGAGGACAGCCCUUUGAAUGUUUGAUCUCAAAUCAGGUAGGACUACCCGCUGAACUUAAGCAUAUCAAUAAGCGGAGGA